rnacentral:snRNA from 1 species
AGCCAGUGAUGAUUAGAUUCAAU